UACGUAGGUGGCAAGCGUUGUCCGGAUUUACUGGGCGUAAAGAGCGCGCAGGCGGUCGUCCAAGUCGCGUGUGAAAGCCCCCGGCUCAACUGGGGAGGGUCACGCGAUACUGGUCGACUCGAAGGCAGGAGAGGGUAGUGGAAUUCCCGGUGUAGUGGUGAAAUGCGUAGAUAUCGGGAGGAACACCAGUGGCGAAGGCGACUACCUGGCCCGUGUUCGUGACGCUGAGGCGAGAACGGAGGGCAAACAGGG
rnacentral:rRNA from 1 species